UUCCCCCAAGCCCACUAUUUUUCUUCCUUCGAUUGCUGAAACAAAACUCCAGAAGGCUGGAACAUACCUUUGUCUUCUUGAGAAAUUUUUCCCAGAUAUUAUUAAGAUACAUUGGCAAGAAAAGAAGAGCAACACGAUUCUGGGAUCCCAGGAGGGGAACACCAUGAAGACUAACGACACAUACAUGAAAUUUAGCUGGUUAACGGUGCCAGAAGAGUCACUGGACAAAGAACACAGAUGUAUCGUCAGACAUGAGAAUAAUAAAAACGGAAUUGAUCAAGAAAUUAUCUUUCCUCCAAUAAAGACAGGUAUGUGUUUACACAUAUCAUCUGUCAGAACACUUCUUUGAAAAUGUCACCACAGUGGAUCCCAAAUACAAUUAUUCAAAGGAUGCAAAUGAUGUCAUCACAAUGGAUCCCAAAGACAAUUGGUCAAAAGAUGCAAAUGAUACACUACUGCUGCAGCUCACAAACACCUCUGCAUAUUACACGUACCUCCUCCUGCUCCUCAAGAGUGUGGUCUAUUUUGCCAUCAUCACCUGCUGUCUGCUUAGAAGAACGGCUUUCUGCUGCAAUGGAGAGAAAUCAUAACAGACGGUGGCACAAGGAGGCCAUCUUUUCCUCAUCGGUUAUUGUCCCUAGAAGCGUCUUCUGAGGAUCUAGUUGGGCUUUCUUUCUGGGUUUGGGCCAUUUCAGUUCUCAUGUGUGUACUAUUCUAUCAUUAUUGUAUAAUGGUUUUCAAACCAGUGGGCACACAGAGAACCUCACUCUGUAAUAACAAUGAGGAAUAGCCAUGGCGAUCUCCAGCACCAAUCUCUCCAUGUUUUCCACAGCUCCUCCAGCCAACCCAAAUAGCGCCUGCUAUAGUGUAGACAGCCUGCGGCUUCUAGCCUUGUCCCUCUCUUAGUGUUCUUUAAUCAGAUAACUGCCUGGAAGCCUUUCAUUUUACACGCCCUGAAGCAGUCUUCUUUGCUAGUUGAAUUAUGUGGUGUGUUUUUCCGUAAUAAGCAAAAUAAAUUUAAAAAAAUGAAAAGUU
rnacentral:lncRNA from 1 species